AGGAGGAGGAGGAGGAGGCUUCAUUUCUGCUCACUGUCAGAAGCAGAAGUCCAACAGAAAAAGGAGGAAACUGAUGUCUUCCUGUGCGGUUAAUGAGUGGAUGAAAAGAAGAAAAAUCCGGCGUUGUUCGCCGGAGGUCAGAGGUCAGCGGUCUGCUCCUGUGGGGGGGGGGGGCUACAGGUGGGCCUUCUCCUCCUCCCGGGGGCGUGGGAGUGAAGCGGGAAGUAAGCACCUUUUAAAGGACCAGGCGGCCAUCACUUUAGGAAGACACAACUUUUAUAUUCAUCCAAAGGGUGGUACUCAAAAUUGUCUUUCAAAAACCGCAGGUCUGUUCUUUAGAAUGCAUACACACACAAGAAGAAGAAGUAGAAGAGGAGAUAAGAAGAAGAAGAAGAAGAUGAUGAGAGAAGAAGAGGAGAUAAGAAGAAGAAGUAGAAGAGGAGAUGAGAAGAAGUAGAAGUAGAAGAGGAGAUGACAAGAAGAAGU